CUGCGCUUUCUGGUUUGCUGGAACCAGGACAGAGUGGGUAACCUUUUCCAAUUGGUUUCGUAGUGAAACUCCUGUUGAGCUGAGGCGUGCAACACCUUAUCUUCAGAGGUUGAGAAAUUAACAAAAUCAAAUGUUGCUGCAGCUGAUUCCUUUUCAAUUAGUUGGUUCUUUUUCCUGAGACUACACAGCUUUCCUCCAGGCUCAAAUACAACAUGCUUCAUGCCCAUUUCGUGUCUUGAAAGCUCCACUGCUCUGGUCUUGUUCCAAACAAAAGGACUGAUGAGAAAAGUACUCAAGAAAGUCCUUUGAAAAUCAGAUGGAUCAAAGACAAUCAGC
rnacentral:lncRNA from 1 species